rnacentral:rRNA from 3 species
UACGUAGGGUGCGAGCGUUGUCCGGAAUUAUUGGGCGUAAAGAGCUCGUAGGCGGUCUGUCGCGUCGAUCGUGAAAACCUGCGGCUUAACCGUGGGCGUGCGGUCGAUACGGGCAUGACUGGAGUUCGGCAGGGGAGACUGGAAUUCCUGGUGUAGCGGUGAAAUGCGCAGAUAUCAGGAGGAACACCGGUGGCGAAGGCGGGUCUCUGGGCCGAAACUGACGCUGAGGAGCGAAAGCGUGGGGAGCGAACAGG